rnacentral:rRNA from 1 species
AGAGUUUGAUCCUGGCUCAGGACGAACGCUGGCGGCGUGCUUAACACAUGCAAGUCGAACGAUGAUCCGGUUUCGGCCGGGGAUUAGUGGCGAACGGGUGAGUAACACGUGGGCAACCUGCCCUCCACUCUGGGAUAACUCCGGGAAACCGGGGCUAAUACCGGAUAUGACUCUGCAUCGCAUGGUGUGGGGUGGAAAGU